AUCCAGCUGAUGAGUUCUAAAUAGGACGAACCGUACAUCCUGUAU
rnacentral:hammerhead_ribozyme from 1 species